UGGGGAAUAUUGCGCAAUGGGCGAAAGCCUGACGCAGCGACGCCGCGUGAGGGAAGAAGGCCUUCGGGUCGUAAACCUCUGUCAGGGGGGAAGAACAUCGUAGGAUCGAAUAGGUCUUACGACUGACGGUACCUCCAAAGGAAGCACCGGCUAACUCCGUGCCAGCAGCCGCGGUAAUACGGAGGGUGCAAGCGUUAAUCGGAAUUACUGGGCGUAAAGCGUGCGUAGGCGGCUUUGCAAGCCAGACGUGAAAGCCCUCGGCUCAACCGGGGAACUGCGUUUGGAACUGCUUAGCUUGAGUCCGAGAGAGGGUGGCGGAAUUCCGGGUGUAGGAGUGAAAUCCGUAGAUAUCCGGAGGAACACCGGUGGCGAAGGCGGCCACCUGGAUCGGCACUGACGCUGAGGUACGAAAGCGUGGGGAGCAAACAGG
rnacentral:rRNA from 1 species